AAGUCAGAUUAUUACAAUGAUGACAUUUUAUUUUGACAUGUUUUUGAUCAGCUGAAACAAAAAGUAAAUAGCCAUUUAUCAAAUCUACACAAAAAGUAAAUAGCAAAUAACCUUUUAAAGGUAUUAAUCAAUAAACACAGGUCAAAGUUGUUACUGAACAAUUUUUUCCAUUACAAACAUCAGUUACAUCAGGGUCAGAAUGUUUUUCAGGUAUCUGGCAGCGUGGGAAUUAAAAAAAAAUUAACAAAACAUUGGUAUUUGGUAAACCUUAUUUAAAUAUAAAAUCACUUUUAGGUUAGUUCCUUGCAUUAUUAAAUUUACCACAUUAUAAAGUGCUAUCAGUGUCACCAUGGAGACAAAACCACUAAAAGAUUAUGUUGAGGAAGGAACAAAGUAGAAUAUGGGAGAGUGUGGUGAUAAAUAUUUAGACUGAAAAGUUGCUGGGCUCAGUGAGAGGAGAAGUGGGGAAGGGUAGAAGCUUAUGAAAUAAUUGUGUAACAUUUAGUAAAACUGAUACUUAAUGCUUUUUUCAACUUGUCUGGACUAUACCUUAUAGGCAGCAAAGGCCAAGUAGGUCAGAGUUGGCUAUGAGAAUUGUCCUGUUUUUGUGUUUGUUUUGACUGAACUAUAUAUACCUGACAGCUAGUUUCCUAAAAAAUGUUUGCAAAUCUAAUAUAGUAGUGCCAAAUUUCCUUCUUGUUAUUAAGUAAA